GGGGGGGGGGGGGGGGGGGGGGGGGGCGGGGGGGUGGGGGGGGGGGGCCUGCUUUGCGUUGGGGGUGGGGGGUGCUCGGGGGGCGAGCGGGGGAGGAGCGCGUGCGGUGUCUGCCCCCACCUUGGGUAUAAGCCUGGGAAACUGGGUCUAAUUCCCGCUAGGCCUGCAGGGGGGUGCCUUGGGUGGAAAACGAUUUUCUAGUGGUUGGGGAUGAGCGCGCGGCCUCGCAGCUUGUUGGUGGGGUAAUGGCCUACCAAGGCGGCGACGGGUAGCCGGCCUGAGAGGGUGGACGGCCACAUUGGGACUGAGAUACGGCCCAGACUCCUACGGGAGGCAGCAGUGGGGAAUAUUGCACAAUGGGCGGAAGCCUGAUGCAGCGACGCCGCGUGGGGGAUGACGGCCUUCGGGUUGUAAACUCCUUUCGACCGCGAGGAAGCCACCUGGUUGGAAGGGUGGUGACGGUAGUGGUAGAAGAAGCACCGGCUAACUACGUG
rnacentral:rRNA from 1 species